UCCAAUGGGAAGUCCGCGCCGCGCGCUCGGACGGUCCUGGAACAGCAGCUGGCCGUUUUGUCGGGAGCCGCCUCGUAAAGCUUUCCUUUGGCGAUAACGGCUUCUUAUCAUCAGCCAUCCCCGAGUCAAGACCCCACGCUUUCCCCAGAACCGAGUUUGGGACGGAAUUUCCCACGCCUCUGCGCGCUGGAGCAGAGAGCACCCAAGAGCUCGCCCCCCCCUCCUCCAGGUCCUCUUUCCACCUCUGCUGGCGAGAUCAGGAACCCCUGAAAGCUGCUGCCCUACCGCCCCAGGCGUGGACCAUCCUUCGGCACACAAAGCUCAGCAGGCCUGGAGACUUCCCAGGUUGGAAAGAUAGGGGACGCGCCACCUGCUGGACACGCGAGACAGCUCUGAUCGCACCCAGGCUGUAAUGCAAGUUUGGGCGCCGCCGGGGGCAGUCCUGGAGCGCGAGACCUAAGAGGGGGCGGUGGUGAGUGGGAGGAGGAGGCAGCUCUGCAUGCCUGGAACGAUCGGGUUGAAAAGUUUCUGCUGUCGCCUCCCCCUUGCGUGCGGAGCUGUGCCUUGCGUGCGCGACUUCUGGGAAGUCGGCUCCAGUCAUCUCCCUGGGCGCUGCUCUCGGCCGCCCCUCCCGCGCUUCUCACGGCACCUGACACGCCGAGGCGGCGGCCAAGGGCGGGGUGCCUGCCGCCACCACCCUCGGCGACGCACGCACAGCUGCGCCCCCAGGGCCUGCCCCGGGGAUGCUGGAUCGCAGCCGGCUUCUCGACCUUCGCUCGCGCAGCCUGGUUCCCAAACGAGGGCUGCUGGCCAUGGGGGACGCUUCCUCCUAAAGGAAAGCCUCGGGUGUCUCACGGCCCUGAAAGCAGCUGCUCCUGUUCCUACCAGUUAAUGCAUAGACGCGUACUUUCAAAACACCUGUGAGAAUAAGGUUUGAGCCAGGCGAGCCGAGGAAGAAGUAGAAUGCUUCUCUUUAAUCAAGUAGGAACUGUAGCUCCGGGCCAUUGGUGUGGCCUCCAGACAACCCACUCCCAACGUUGUGUUAUUGUCUCAUUUACAAAAAAACAGAUUCAGGGAGAUUACGGACUUAAACAAGUCACACAGUUCUUUAGAGGUGGAGACAGGAUUUGAACUCACAAAGUCCCACUCCAAAUCCCUCAUACAGGUUUAUACCGAGUAAAAGCAUACUUAAUAUGUGUAUACAUAUAUACAUAUAUAUAUAUAUAUAUAUAUUCCGAUAAAAGCAAGCCAGAGGGUGGUGCCUGGCACCCACAAGGUGCAAAGAGAGAACCAAUUUACACAAGUAAUCCUCCAACCUCCCACUUGUUCCAGAGCACACAAACAUUUACAUUUAUUUACAUAAUAAAUGUAAAAGCUUUUAAUCAGCUGGAAAGAUUUGACGCUUUUUGUCCAUGAUGGAGUGUUUAUAAAACUCACAAAGAAACACUAUAUUCACCAUGUUUAAAUUGGCCACGUAUGAGGGGGGGCGGUAGAAGGUGCGUCACAGCUGAUAUUGGAAUAACUGAUUGCAUUAUAAAGAACCUUAAUGAAGGGGUCUGAAAUGAAAGUGUCUAACAUCUUUCAAUAAAAUGCCUGGCCCGCUAAGAAAAAA